AUAUAUAACCAUACAGAAUCAUAUACGUGAAGAGAGUGA
rnacentral:guide_RNA from 1 species